rnacentral:rRNA from 1 species
GAUGAACGCUGGCGGCGUGCCUAAUACAUGCAAGUCGAGCGAACAGACGAGGAGCUUGCUCCUCUGACGUUAGCGGCGGACGGGUGAGUAACACGUGGAUAACCUACCUAUAAGACUGGGAUAACUUCGGGAAACCGGAGCUAAUACCGGAUAAUAUAUUGAACCGCAUGGUUCAAUAGUGAAAGACGGUUUUGCUGUCACUUAUAGAUGGAUCCGCGCCGCAUUAGCUAGUUGGUAAGGUAACGGCUUACCAAGGCAACGAUGCGUAGCCGACCUGAGAGGGUGAUCGGCCACACUGGAACUGAGACACGGUCCAGACUCCUACGGGAGGCAGCAGUAGGGAAUCUUCCGCAAUGGGCGAAAGCCUGACGGAGCAACGCCGCGUGAAUGAUGAAGGUCCUCGGAUCGUAAAACACUGUUAUUAGGGAAGAACAAAUGUGUAAGUAACUAUGCACGUCUUGACGGUACCUAAUCAGAAAGCCACGGCUAACUACGUG